UACGAAGGGGGCUAGCGUUGCUCGGAAUCACUGGGCGUAAAGGGUGCGUAGGUGGUGAGGUAAGUCGGAUGUGAAAUCUCCGAGCUCAACUCGGAAAUUGCAUUGAAAACUACCUUGCUUGAGGGUUGGAGGGGGGACUGGAAUGCUUGGUGUAGCAGUGAAAUGCGUAGAUAUCAAGCGGAACACCAGUGGCGAAGGCGAGUCCCUGGACAACACCUGACACUGAGGCACGAAAGCUAGGGGAGCAAACAGG
rnacentral:rRNA from 1 species